GAUGAACGCUGGCGGCGUGCUUAACACAUGCAAGUCGAACGAUGAAGCCCAGCUUGCUGGGUGGAUUAGUGGCGAACGGGUGAGUAACACGUGAGUAACCUGCCCUUAACUCUGGGAUAAGCCUGGGAAACUGGGUCUAAUACCGGAUAGGAGCGCCUACCGCAUGGUGGGUGUUGGAAAGAUUUAUCGGUUUUGGAUGGACUCGCGGCCUAUCAGCUUGUUGGUGAGGUAAUGGCUCACCAAGGCGACGACGGGUAGCCGGCCUGAGAGGGUGACCGGCCACACUGGGACUGAGACACGGCCCAGACUCCUACGGGAGGCAGCAGUGGGGAAUAUUGCACAAUGGGCGGAAGCCUGAUGCAGCGACGCCGCGUGAGGGAUGACGGCCUUCGGGUUGUAAACCUCUUUCAGUAGGGAAGAAGCGAAAGUGACGGUACCUGCAGAAGAAGCACCGGCUAACUACGUG
rnacentral:rRNA from 1 species